GCCUCCGUGGUGAAACGGAUAUCAUGUCGGUCUUCGGAACCGCAGUUCCGGGUUCGAAUCCUGGCGGAGGCA
rnacentral:tRNA from 1 species